rnacentral:rRNA from 1 species
CCUACGAGGGGCAGCAGUGGGGGAUAUUGCACAAUGGGGGGAACCCUGAUGCAGCGACGCCGCGUGAGCGAAGAAGUACCUCGGUAUGUAAAGCUCUAUCAGCAGGGAAGAUAAUGACGGUACCUGACCAAGAAGCCCCGGCUAACUACGUGCCAGCAGCCGCGGUAAUACGUAGGGGGCAAGCGUUAUCCGGAUUUACUGGGUGUAAAGGGAGCGUAGACGGCAGCACAAGUCUGGAGUGAAAUCCCGGGGCUUAACCCCGGAACUGCUUUGGAAACUGUGCGGCUGGAGUGCAGGAGGGGUAAGCGGAAUUCCUAGUGUAGCGGUGAAAUGCGUAGAUAUUAGGAGGAACACCGGUGGCGAAGGCGGCUUACUGGACUGUAACUGACGUUGAGGCUCGAAAGCGUGGGGAGCAAACAGGAUUAGAUACCCGUGUAGUC